GCCAAGUUAAGAAUUUAUUUUUUCAUUUUCAAGAGUAGUACAACGCAGUGCGGCCGCAGUUGUGACCACAUUCACACUUUUCAACAAUAUCUAUCUAGGACCAUCAUGAGAUAAUCACAACAUCAACAACAAUCAAAAAAUUGUAAACAUUGACAGUGACUAUUCAACAAAAAAAUUGUUGGAAAGUGUGGAAAACAAAAAUCCACACAUACCUAUG
rnacentral:lncRNA from 1 species